AUACGGAAGGUCCGGGCGUUAUCCGGAUUUAUUGGGUUUAAAGGGAGCGCAGGCGGAGAUGCAAGCGUGACGUCAAAUUUCGGGGCUCAACCCCGUCUCGCGUCGCGAACUGCGUCCCUUGGUUGCGGGAAGGGGAGGCGGAACUCGUGGUGUAGCGGUGAAAUGCAUAGAUAUCACGAAGAACUCCGAUCGCGAAGGCAGCCUUCCGGCCCGUCAACGACGCUCAUGCUCGAAGGUGCGGGUAUCAAACAGGAUUAGAUACCCUGGUAGUCCGCACAGUAAACGAUGGACACCCGCGGUUUGGCCUGUAUGGCUGAGCCGCCAAGCGAAAGCGUUAUGUGUCCCACCUGGGGAGUACGCCGGCAACGGUGAAACUCAAAGGAAUUGACGGGG
rnacentral:rRNA from 1 species